rnacentral:tRNA from 2 species
GCCCCUAUAGUUUAAUGGAUAAAACUGCGGACUUCUAAGCCGUUGAUCUGGGUUCGAUUCCUGGUAGGGGCG